UACGGAGGGUGCAAGCGUUAAUCGGAUUUACUGGGCGUAAAGUGUACGCAGGUGGGAAUUUAAGUUAGAUGUGAAAUACCAAGGCUCAACCUUGGAGCGGCAUUUAAAACUGAAUUUCUUGAGAUUAGUUAAGGAGGACGGAAUUCUGCAAGUAGCGGUGAAAUGCGUAGAUAUGCAGAGGAACAUCAGAGGCGAAGGCGGUUCUUCAAACUAAUUCUGACACUCAUGUACGAAAGCGUGGGGAGCAAACAGG
rnacentral:rRNA from 1 species